rnacentral:rRNA from 1 species
UACGGAGGAUGCGAGCGUUAUCCGGAUUUAUUGGGUUUAAAGGGUGCGUAGGCGGCGAGUUAAGUCAGCGGUCAAAGCCCGGGGCUCAACCCCGGCCCGCCGUUGAAACUGGCAGUCUCGAGUUGGAGAGAAGUAUGCGGAAUGCGCGGUGUAGCGGUGAAAUGCAUAGAUAUCGCGCAGAACUCCGAUUGCGAAGGCAGCAUACCGGCGCCCAACUGACGCUGAAGCACGAAAGCGUGGGGAGCAAAUAGG